rnacentral:rRNA from 1 species
CGAACGCUGGCGGCGUGCUUAACACAUGCAAGUCGAGCGGUAAGGCCCUUUCGGGGGUACACGAGCGGCGAACGGGUGAGUAACACGUGGGUGACCUGCCCUUAGCUCUGGGAUAAGCCUGGGAAACUGGGUCUAAUACCGGAUAUGACUCCAUGACGCAUGUUGUGGGGUGGAAAGCCUUGUGCGGCUAGGGAUGGGCCCGCGGCCUAUCAGCUUGUUGGUGGGGUGAUGGCCUACCAAGGCGACGACGGGUAGCCGGCCUGAGAGGGCGACCGGCCACACUGGGACUGAGACACGGCCCAGACUCCUACGGGAGGCAGCAGUGGGGAAUCUUGCGCAAUGGGCGAAAGCCUGACGCAGCGACGCCGUGUGCGGGAAGAAGGCCUUCGGUUGUAACCGUACUUC